CGGCUGCUGGUCAAGGCCGACAAAUCCGCGCCGUUGCAGGCGGCGCUGUCACGCUGGAUCGCGCAGUUCAAACUGCCCAACCAG
rnacentral:tRNA from 1 species